rnacentral:rRNA from 1 species
UACGGAGGAUGCGAGCGUUAUCCGGAUUUAUUGGGUUUAAAGGGUGCGUAGGCGGCUUUUUAAGUCAGCGGUGAAAUUUUGCAGCUUAACUGUAACAGUGCCGUUGAUACUGUUUGGCUAGGAUUUGGUUGUAGUGUGCGGAAUGUGUGGUGUAGCGGUGAAAUGCUUAGAUAUUACACAGAACACCAAUUGCGUAGGCAGCUUACUGAGCCGACACUGACGCUGAGGCACGAAAGCGUGGGGAUCAAACAGGAUUAGAUA